GGACUACCGGGGUAUCUAAUCCCGUUUGCUCCCCUGGCUUUCGCGCCUCAGCGUCAGAAGAGGUCCAGCGCGCCGCUUUCGCCACCGGUGUUCCUUCCGAUAUCUACGCAUUUCACCGCUCCACCGGAAGUUCCGCACGCCCCUACCUCCCUCGAGACUCGCAGUAUCAAAGGCACUUCCACGGUUGAGCCGUGGGCUUUCACCCCUGACUGGCGAGCCCGCCUACGCGCCCUUUAAGCCCAGUGAUUCCGAAUAACGUUCGCACGGUUCGUCUUACCGCGGCUGCUGGCAC
rnacentral:rRNA from 1 species